CGCUAACCCUUCUCGGCUGCAACCAAACAGCCUCCACAGUGCUUCGACCCGUCCGCAGCCCCGAAAGUGCUCCCCAGAAAGCGAGAGCAGACUCCCACCAAAGCUGCUUCGACCUCGAUGUAUGCUUUUUCUCUCCACCCGAGGCCUUCCCCGCUCCCCUCCACCCUCGGAGGAAAUUGAAGAAUUCUUCCCGAACACUGUCUGAGUCUGGCUCCGGCUCUGACCGCUCCUCCCUUCCCAAGAUUGUCAGGCUACGUCAGUAGCUUAAAAACCUCCCCAGCCCCGGAUCCGCACGUGAGAGAGGACGUGCCUGGCAGUGGCCGCUCAGCGCAGCCUCCUCUUCCUUCCCCUCCUUGCUCCUCCCGCAGGGAUCACCCGAUUCAGUGCCUCACACCCUGUGGUUCAGCGAUCUCAGCCUCUCUGCCCCCGCUCGCUGUGUACGAAGCCAACCUCCAGGUCUCCACCCCGGGAAGACGCCUCCUCCUAAGAAGGGACGGUCGGGAUGCUGCGCUAGUUGUGUGGACAGUGGGAGAAAAGUUUCGCUCUCGAAUCUUAAAGAAGCAAGGCGAUCGAUUGGGGAACUCCUCCCAUGGCUUCAGGAAAAGCCACUCUAUUCUUUGGGAAAGCCCCUGUGUCCCGCCGGUUUUCCGCUUGGUCAGCAGGAUCUUCUACUGAAAGUAGAGUUCUCUCAUUCCAGUCUGCACGUACAGCUUGGAAAUUGCCAAACUGGAGAGCGAAGUCUGAGGUGGGCGGGUAGGGGAGAAGGUGGCAGCUCAACGGACGGAAGACUUUGAAGGUGCAUGAUAAAUAUUCAUGAAUCGAUUGGUUGAUGUAGUGACAGAGGAUAGAAGAAGUAUCAUCUCAACAGCUGCCAGGAGGGUUAUUUGGGAAGGAUGUCUGUUAUCCCAGUCCUGAGGUCCUCAUCCUCAUAGAUGGAAUGAAAAAGGCACGAGGAGUAGAUGCUGGCAGCCCCAAUUGUCAUAGUUAUCAUCAUCAUUAUCACCAUCACCAUCAUCAUCAUCAUCAUCAUCAUCAUCAUCAUCAUCAUCAUCAUCAUUUCUUCUAUCCUCUCAUGAGGUGAGAAAGGAGAGGCUGAAAGAGGCUAAGUGAUUUGCUCAGUAUUGACAAGUUAGUGGAAGAGUUUAGAUUAGAAGUUAGGUCUCCUGACUCAUUCCUGUGCUCUUUCUGCCAUACCACACUAUUCCUGGGAAAGGGUCUAGGUUAAGGUAAUUUGGCUUUCCCAUCUCAGGUCAAAUCCUUGAGACCAGUGGGUCCAUUCAUGCCACCUUACAGUUAUG
rnacentral:lncRNA from 1 species